rnacentral:rRNA from 1 species
UGAGGAAUAUUGGACAAUGGGGGCAACCCUGAUCCAGCCAUGCCGCGUGAGUGACGAAGGCCUUAGGGUUGUAAAGCUCUUUCAAUGGUGAAGAUAAUGACGGUAGCCAUACAAGAAGCUCCGGCUAAAUUCGUGCCAGCAGCCGCGGUAAUACGAAUGGAGCAAGCGUUGUUCGGAAUCACUGGGCUUAAAGCGUAUGUAGGCGGAAUGGAAAGUCAGGAGUGAAAUCCCGGGGCUCAACCCCGGAACUGCUCUUGAAACUUCCAUUCUAGAAUCCUGGAGAGGUUGGGAGAAUUCCUAGUGUAGAGGUGAAAUUCGCAGAUAUUAGGAGGAAUACCAGUGGCGUAGGCGCCCAACUGGACAGGUAUUGACGCUCAGAUACGAAAGCGUGGGGAGCAAACAGGAUUAGAUACCCCCGUAGUCC